rnacentral:rRNA from 1 species
UCUUUGGCCAUAUCAGCCUGAAUGCGCCCGCUCUUCUCUGAUCUCAGAAGCUAAGCAGGGUUGGGCUUGGUUAGUAACUUGGAUGGUUGGGAGUCAUGAUACUGUUUCCUAUUAUGGGGAAUCUGGGGGCAUUAGAG